AAGAUUUUUUUUUUUUUAAAAAAAUAUAUAUAUACAUGCUUAAAAAUAUGUAUAUAUUAUUAACAUUUAAAAAUUUAAGUCAAUACUAAGUUGUUAUACUUUUUUAUUGUGUGAGAUUUUAGAAUCUCUACAUAUAUAUAGAAUAAUUAUAUUACCAUAUGAGCCAACAAGGUUUUGCAAGUAUAGUGGUUAAAUUCCUAAUCAUAAAAUAUAAAAAGUUAAUUUUAACCUCUUUUCUUUUCUUUAUUUUAAAAAUUCAAAAAUAGAGAAAAUAAUUAAAAUUAAAUUACUUUUUAUAAUUUAAAGUAGACAUAUCAAAAUUUCAAAAAAUUGUUUCAUUUGCAAAAUGGUGAAUUAUUUUUAAUUAAUUUCUAUUAAAAAAAUAUUUUCAUCAAUAAUUUAUAAUCCCAAACUAUAUGGAUUUUGAUCCCCAUCGCAGAGUACGUAGGCUUCAGAGUCUGAUUUUGAGUCAAGUCCUCCUUUGUAAAUAAAUAAAUAUUUCUACUUAAUUAUUAUCAUUUUUUAUCAAACAGGUGAAUAAGAAAUGGAUAAUUAAACUUUAAAGCUAUAUUAAUUUAGCACAACAAACUUUAGGUAACCGUUCUCACGAAUGGGUGUUGUGGGCUUUCUGUGCCAUGCGCUGCGGCGGGUAAGUCAGUAUGCUGAGGCGCACGGGCAAAAUUAGCACUUAUCAGAUUGUAGAAACAGACCGAGAACAGAAGAGAGAAGAAGGAAAAACGACAGAGCGAUGGAGAACUUUUAGUCUGUUAGGGCAUGAUCCCUAGGCUACUUUGAGGGCAUUUGGAACUUGAAUCACUAUUGGGCUCUGGUAGGGGCAAGAGAAAGGAAGGGGCAUUUGAAGAAUGAAGAGCAUCAUUAUGAUUGAUGAUUUGAUGAAGAUGUCCCUGGCCCCAAAGAUGAUUGAGUAGUUGGAGAUGAUGAUGUACCACUCAUUUCUUUAUAUUGAUCAAAUAUGGAUUGUUGGUGAGAUUUGUUCGAAAGUUAAAGGACAAGCCAAAUCUUAUUUUUGUACAAGAGGAACCCUUUUGGUAUCAAAGGGUUGAGGUAACAGGAGAAUUUAUAUUUCUUAUUACUUUAUUUAGCUAUUUUUGAGUAGAUAAUAUUAUCUAGCAUGCAUUACAUGUUUUAAACAAUUGAGUGGAAAUAAAACGUGUUUUAAAAGGGUUUAUGGGGUAUUGCUUUAAUAAUAAUGUAUCUAUGUUUGCUAUCUACUUAAUAAUGAUGUUACUCAAAGAAUAAGAUUAUUAGCAUGUAUUAUGAUCAUAAAAAAUGAGGAGUUUUACUUAGAAAAGUGCAACUAGGUUUAGGACCUUAGAUAGGCUAAGGAACCGCUUAAGGGAUAAAUUAUCAAUGUUAUACUACCUUGAGUGUUGAAGAGGUCAAUACUCAGGAAAGGUAGAAAAAGGGUAGAGGCAUGAUCUCGGUGGGAGUUCACCAAUGGGGAGAUGUGGUCUUGUGAUAUUUUAUGGCUCACUGUCAGUACUCAGUGUUACCUUUUGUAUUGUGGGCUCAGUAUACUAAAGUGGUUAGUGGAUUGAGUGUUCGACACCUCUCAGUGGGAGAGGGAAUCCAGCAUAUGAAGUGUGAGGUUGAGUGCCUAGGCCAAGGUAGCCCUCACUUGGAGAAUAAGUCAGGCUAGCUCUGGGAGGGAGUUAGCUUUGACUACUUAGGAUUCACGUUGAAUGACACAGGCAGUUUGGUGGAUCAAAUCAUACCUUAGUUUAUAUGCUGUGCCUAUGGAGGCACAGUGGAUACAAGGUUGACCUACAAGCUAAAGAGUGCCAAGGGGCAUUCUGUUGGUCAGGAAAGGCUAUAUCAGCCUAUCUCAUGCAUUCAAGCAUUUUAAUUGGUUAAUUAUAUGUUAUUUUGAAUCCAUUAUUUAUUCACUUGACUAUGGCUUUUUUUUGUAAUAAGGAAUAUCGAUAUCUUUGUUACUGAGAUUGUGAUUGUCUCGCCUAUUUCUUUUCAAUAUUUUCAAGUCUAGGUGAAGGAACCAAUGGAGGAUGGGAAAAAAGUAGUGCUAAAGGUUCUUUGUGAAAUGUAAAGAACUGCAACCCCUUUCUUUUGAGCAAAUCUAUUGUAAUGUAUUUAGGAUUAGGGUGCCACUAGGAUGUGAUUAUGUAUAUAUAUGUGUGAGUAUGUGUGGAUUGUAUGGCUUGUGUAUGAAUUUUUGUUUGCUUGUAGACUUAUGGCUAGGAAACUUGGCUAUGGUGUGUGAUUUUGAUGAAUUUAUUUAGUAGACCAGUUUUCACUAUAACUAAAUAUUUAUUUUGGUAUAUAUGUGAUUCCACAAGCAAAUACAAAGUAGUUGCAUUGCAAAUGGUGUGCUAUGGGCAAACAUACACCUUGAAUAGAGAGAGUGGGUGCGUGGGCCCCACGGAGAUCUUUGAGCCAAGUGAAAAUAUUUAGCGUGUGUAUUCAUAUGUGUAUAUGAUA